rnacentral:lncRNA from 1 species
UGAUGAGCAAUGAGCAGCGGUUACUUGGGAUCAGUUCAGGGAGAUGUUCCGCGCUCGCUACAUUCCAUAAGUUGAGCAAGUGUCACACCCCAAAACCAAGAACGGCGGAAACGUUAUGGGGCGGAGGACGUCAUGUACAGUAUCACAACAAUGAAAAGUAGUAAACAAGCAACAACAUCAUCCAUUGCAUUAAUAAUAGAAUUAUUAUACAUGUGUUCUGUCAAAUUUUGAUAAACACUAAAGCAUAAAUCAAAAUGAAAGAUGAGUCUUGAACAAGCUCCGUCUUCCUUACUCCUUGCAUCGGUACCUGUCUAUGAUGACCUGAGGAUACAAGUAAUUUUGAAAGCGAGUAUCAGCUUUGAAGCUGGUGAGAUCAUAAGUAUUUAGUGUCUUAAUUUGUAUGUAAGAAUUUGUAAGUUUAUGAACUGUAAGGAUGAAAAUGUUUGUAAGUGAACUGUAAGUAUGAAAAUAUUUGUAAAACAACUGUAAACGUUUGAAAAACCCUAGAAAUCCCUAUGAUUCCUACUAUUAUAUAAAGUGCGUCUUCUACCAAGACCUAACUGUUCUCAAUGUAGUCUUCUACCAAGACUUAACUGUUCUAAAUGUCCGUUUCUUGUAAAAGUGUGUAAUUUUCCCAAGUGUAACUAUCAUUAACAAAAUAUAGUUUUUACAUUUAUAGUUUAAGUGAAAAGAUCACUAAAUAU